rnacentral:lncRNA from 1 species
GCGUGAUGAGGGAGUCCCUCAUUGACUAAUAUGGCAUCGACUGUUCAUUAAUUGGGCCUAUUUUAAUUGAACAUUUGCAUCUUGGGCUUGGCCCAUUUACAUUUUCCUAUGUAUAUGUGUGAAUUCACUUCGUUAAAGUAUGUUUCCGAAUCCUAACCAAACUCCCUCUCUUGUCUAUCGCACUCUCAUAGUAUUUUGUCCAAUCGUUAACUUGAU